GGAAAGUGUCUCUAAACUGACAGUAGGGAUAGCUGAGAACCAAACUUGACUUAUAUGGUAAAACCUCAAAAGCUCCGGAGUUGACAGCACCAGGUACCUCUGGAAGGGGAUGAAGAGAGAUGGGCUGGCUAACACACGGAGAAAGAAUUGCAACUAUAACUAAGAAGCAACUGCAUCCUUAGAUUGUUUCCUUCACUCCACAAGCUCCAUGAUUGAGCUUCCAACAUCUGGCAGGAAAUUCUAAGUUUAUUCUCUGGUUGGAGUAAAGAGAGAGUCUCUGAACUGGGAGACUUUAAACACAGUUAAGAGUGGAGAUUCUCCUUGGCAGAAAGUGUUAAAGUGGAACUCGUGCCUCAUCUAUAACCAACCAGUUCCACCUCUAGGAAUACACACAGCAGGCAGGUGUGCAUGGCACGCAGAAGCCAUUAUUUGUAGUCAAGAAUUAGAAUCAACCCAAAGGCUCAUCAACAAUAAAACAGGUAGGGGUUUCUUCAUAGAACUUGCCAUCAGUGGGAAGGAGAUGGGUAAGGCUGUUGGGGAAGGAAUUGUCUCCACCCAGGGAUCCUCCACUGAGAUGCAACUUGCACCUAGCCUGGGACCUCCUCGCUUUCAUCCACUAGUCAGAAUAAGUUCCUUCUCUGAACACCCAAGACGUCUAGCAUAAAAGAAUCUCUAUUUCUUCCUAGAUCAUUUUGAGGCCAUUUUAUGAAGAAGGAGGUAUCAUGGAUAUACAACUGGACCCUUGCAGGUUUUAUGCUUAAUCUUGACUUUGGUUGCCAAGAUGCUUUUAAAUAUCUUACUUUUGCAAAUCGACGAAACCUUAAGGCCACUGCGUCAGCUCUGUGAUAACUUCGCUUCAGCCCCUGAGGUAGGUUUUAUUACCGGCCAAUUUAACUGAUGAGGAAACCGAGACACAGAAGUUAACGUCCACCUUUACCCAGCUAGUCAGUCAGUGGUACAAGAGCUGAAAGAGACUCUUUAAUGAGAUUGCAUUGAGUUCGUAGAUUAAUCUGAGAGGAAUCAAACCUGCAUGAUAUUGAGACUUCUAAUACAUGAACAUGGUAUAUGCCUCCAUCUUUUCUUCAUUUUUAAAUUUCUCAAUAAAGUUUUAUAGUUUUCUUUGUACAAGUUUUAUACAUCUUUAACUCACAGGUAUUUGAAGGG
rnacentral:lncRNA from 1 species